CCCUUCGGGGCUCUUUGCAAGGUGCUGCAUGGUUGUCGUCAGCUCGUGCCGUGAGGUGUCGGGUUAAGUCCCAUAACGAGCGCAACCCUUAUCGUUAGUUGCCAGCGGGUAAUGCCGGGGACUCUAGCGAAACUGCCGGUGUAAACCGAGAGGAAGGUGGGAUGACGUCAAAUCAGCACGGCCCUUAUGUCCAGGGCUACACACGUGUUACAAUGGCCGGUACAGAGGGCAGCUACCUGGAGACAGGAUGCGAAUCUCGAAAGCCGGUCUCAGUUCGGAUCGGAGUCUGCAACUCGACUCCGUGAAGCUGGAUUCGCUAGUAAUCGCGCAUCAGCCAUGGCGCGGUGAAUACGUUCCCGGGCCUU
rnacentral:rRNA from 1 species